AGUGAACGCUGGCGGUAGGCCUAACACAUGCAAGUCGAACGGCAGCACAGUAAGAGCUUGCUCUUACGGGUGGCGAGUGGCGGACGGGUGAGGAAUACAUCGGAAUCUACUUUUUCGUGGGGGAUAACGUAGGGAAACUUACGCUAAUACCGCAUACGACCUACGGGUGAAAGCAGGGGAUCUUCGGACCUUGCGCGAUUGAAUGAGCCGAUGUCGGAUUAGCUAGUUGGCGGGGUAAAGGCCCACCAAGGCGACGAUCCGUAGCUGGUCUGAGAGGAUGAUCAGCCACACUGGAACUGAGACACGGUCCAGACUCCUACGGGAGGCAGCAGUGGGGAAUAUUGGACAAUGGGCGCAAGCCUGAUCCAGCCAUACCGCGUGGGUGAAGAAGGCCUUCGGGUUGUAAAGCCCUUUUGUUGGGAAAGAAAAGCAGCAGGUUAAUACCCAGCUGUUCUGACGGUACCCAAAGAAUAAGCACCGGCUAACUUCGUG
rnacentral:rRNA from 1 species